UACGGGAGGCAGCAGUGGGGAAUAUUGCACAAUGGGCGCAAGCCUGAUGCAGCCAUGCCGCGUGUAUGAAGAAGGCCUUCGGGUUGUAAAGUACUUUCAGCGGGGAGGAAGGCGAUGCGGUUAAUAACCGCGUCGAUUGACGUUACCCGCAGAAGAAGCACCGGCUAACUCCGUGCCAGCAGCCGCGGUAAUACGGAGGGUGCAAGCGUUAAUCGGAAUUACUGGGCGUAAAGCGCACGCAGGCGGUCUGUUAAGUCAGAUGUGAAAUCCCCCGGGCUUAACCUGGGAACUGCAUUUUGAAACUGGCAGGCUUGAGUCUUGUAGAGGGGGUAGAAUUCCAGGUGUAGCGGUGAAAUGCGUAGAGAUCUGGAGGAAUCCGGGUGGCGAAGGCGGCCCCUGGGACAAAGCUGACGCUCAGGUGCGAAAGCGUGGGGAGCAAACGAGGAUUAGGAUACC
rnacentral:rRNA from 1 species